GACGAACGCUGGCGGCGUGCCUAAUACAUGCAAGUAGAACGCUGAAGCGAGGAGCUUGCUCUUCUUGGAUGAGUUGCGAACGGGUGAGUAACGCGUAGGUAACCUGCCUUGUAGCGGGGGAUAACUAUUGGAAACGAUAGCUAAUACCGCAUAACAAUGGAUGACACAUGUCAUUUAUUUGAAAGGGGCAAUUGCUCCACUACAAGAUGGACCUGCGUUGUAUUAGCUAGUAGGUGAGGUAAUGGCUCACCUAGGCGACGAUACAUAGCCGACCUGAGAGGGUGAUCGGCCACAAUGGGAAUGGGACACGGCCCAGACCCCUACGGGAGGCAGCAGUAGGGAAACUUCGGCAAUGGGGGCAAAGCUGACCGAAGAACGCCGGGGGAGGGGAGGAGGGUCUCGGAUCGGAAAGCUCUGUUGUAAGUCAAGAAAGGGUGUGAGAGUGGAAAGUUCACACUGUGACGGUAGCUUAACAGAAAGGGACGGCUAACUACGUG
rnacentral:rRNA from 1 species